rnacentral:rRNA from 1 species
AGCGAACGCUGGCGGCAGGCCUAACACAUGCAAGUCGAACGAAAUCUUCGGACUUAGUGGCGGACGGGUGAGUAACACGUGGGAACGUGCCUCUAGGUUCGGAAUAACUCAGGGAAACUUGUGCUAAUACCGAAUGUGCCCCUCGGGGGAAAGAUUUAUCGCCUUUAGAGCGGCCCGCGUCUGAUUAGCUAGUUGGUGAGGUAAAGGCUCACCAAGGCGACGAUCAGUAGCUGGUCUGAGAGGAUGAUCAGCCACAUUGGGACUGAGACACGGCCCAAACUCCUACGGGAGGCAGCAGUGGGGAAUCUUGCGCAAUGGGCGAAAGCCUGACGCAGCCAUGCCGCGUGAAUGAUGAAGGUCUUAGGAUUGUAAAAUUCUUUCACCGGGGACGAUAAUGACGGUACCCGGAGAAGAAGCCCCGGCUAACUUCGUGCCAGCCGCCGCCGUAACAC